rnacentral:lncRNA from 1 species
UUAGGGUUUCAUCAAUCUCGUCCAUUCCAUUUGCUCACCUUUUCGAUUUUUCUUAAUAAAAAACUGUAGUUGUUUAUUUAUUGCUUCACUUUCUUAAUUGUUGAUAGUUGGUGCAAUCUCAGCCAUGGCUGGUGGAGGAAAUUUCCUUCAUAGAGUUAUUUCUUAUGUCGCCAAUGAAUUAAUCGUCAAUGGCCUCGCCAACAGGUAAUUAUUUUUAUAAACUGUUUGAUUGAGCUUUGAGUUAUUUCUUUCCGUUUAAAUUCAAAAUUAUAGUUUUAUUAUUCUUUUCAAGUCAAAAUUGUAUUUUUUUUUUAAGGGAAGGUGAUAUUAGUUGAGUUUUUAUUGAAGAAGUGAGGAUUUCUAUUGUCAACCCCAUCUAUUUUGGGACUAAGGAAUAAAGAAAA